rnacentral:rRNA from 1 species
ACUUAAAUUGAAGAGUUUGAUCAUGGCUCAGAUUGAACGCUGGCGGCAGGCCUAACACAUGCAAGUCGAGCGGUAACACAGAGAGCUUGCUCUCGGGUGACGAGCGGCGGACGGGUGAGUAAUGUCUGGGAAACUGCCUGAUGGAGGGGGAUAACUACUGGAAACGGUAGCUAAUACCGCAUAACGUCGCAAGACCAAAGUGGGGGACCUUCGGGCCUCAUGCCAUCAGAUGUGCCCAGAUGGGAUUAGCUAGUAGGUGGGGUAAUGGCUCACCUAGGCGACGAUCCCUAGCUGGUCUGAGAGGAUGACCAGCCACACUGGAACUGAGACACGGUCCAGACUCCUACGGGAGGCAGCAGUGGGGAAUAUUGCACAAUGGGCGCAAGCCUGAUGCAGCCAUGCCGCGUGUAUGAAGAAGGCCUUCGGGUUGUAAAGUACUUUCAGCGAGGAGGAAGGCGUUAAGGUUAAUAACCUUGGCGAUUGACGUUACUCGCAGAAGAAGCACCGGCUAACUCCGUUCCAGCAGCCGCGGUAAUACGGAGGGUGCAAGCGUUAAUCGGAAUUACUGGGCGUAAAGCGCACGCAGGCGGUCUGUCAAGUCGGAUGUGAAAUCCCCGGGCUCAAC